UACGGAGGCCUCGAGCGUUGUUCGGAAUCACUGGGCUUAAAGCGCGUGUAGGCGGAACGGUAAGUACUUUGUGAAAUCCCCGGCUUCAAUCCGGGAACUGCUUGGUAUACUGCCGUUCUUGAGGCAGGUAGGGGUCACUGGAACCUUAGGUGGAGCGGUGAAAUGCGUAGAUAUCUAAGGGAACGCCUGUGGCGAAAGCGGGUGACUGGGCCUGACCUGACGCUGAGACGCGAAAGCGUAGGGAGCAAACGGG
rnacentral:rRNA from 1 species